GACGAACGCUGGCGGCGUGCUUAACACAUGCAAGUCGAACGGAAAGGCCCUGCUUUUGUGGGGUGCUCGAGUGGCGAACGGGUGAGUAACACGUGAGUAACCUGCCCUUGACUUUGGGAUAACUUCAGGAAACUGGGGCUAAUACCGGAUAGGAGCUCCUGCUGCAUGGUGGGGGUUGGAAAGUUUCGGCGGUUGGGGAUGGACUCGCGGCUUAUCAGCUUGUUGGUGGGGCAGUGGCUUACCAAGGCUUUGACGGGUAGCCGGCCUGAGGGGGUGACCGGCCACAUUGGGACUGAGAUACGGCCCAGACUCCUACGGGAGGCAGCAGUGGGGAAUAUUGCACAAUGGGCGGAAGCCUGAUGCAGCAACGCCGCGUGCGGGAUGACGGCCUUCGGGUUGUAAACCGCUUUCGCCUGUGACGAAGCGUGAGUGACGGUAAUGGGUAAAGAAGCACCGGCUAACUACGUG
rnacentral:rRNA from 1 species